UUGACCUCGGAUCAGGCAGGGAUACCCGCUGAACUUAAGCAUAUCAAUAAGCGGAGGAAAAGAAACCAACAGGGAUUGCCUCAGUAACGGCGAGUGAAGCGGCAACAGCUCAAAUUUGAAAUCUGGCCCCCUCGGGGUCCGAGUUGUAAUUUGGAGAGGAUGCUUCGGGUGUGGCCCCGGUCUAAGUUCCUNGGAACAGGACGUCACAGAGGUGAGANUCCCCGUACGUGCCNGUGGCCGCCCCCGUGUGAAGCUCCUNCGACGAGUCGAGUUGUUNGGAAUGCACUCAANUGGNGGNANUUCUCUAAGUAAAUUGGCNAANCGANGCC
rnacentral:rRNA from 1 species